rnacentral:rRNA from 1 species
AGAGUUUGAUCCUGGCUCAGGACGAACGCUGGCGGCAUGCCUAAUACAUGCAAGUCGAGCGAACAGAUGAAGUGCUUGCACUUCUGACGUUAGCGGCGAACGGGUGAGUAACACGUAAGGAAUCUACCUAUAAGCGGGGGAUAACAUUCGGAAACGGGUGCUAAUACCGCAUAAUAUCUUCUUCCGCAUGGAAGAAGAUUGAAAGACGGCUCUGCUGUCACUUAUAGAUGACCUUGCGGUGCAUUAGUUAGUUGGUGGGGUAACGGCCUACCAAGACGAUGAUGCAUAGCCGACCUGAGAGGGUGAUCGGCCACAUUGGGACUGAGACACGGCCCAAACUCCUACGGGAGGCAGCAGUAGGGAAUCUUCCGCAAUGGGCGAAAGCCUGACGGAGCAAUGCCGCGUGAGUGAAGAAGGCCUUCGGGUCGUAAAACUCUGUUAUAAGAGAAGAACAAAUUGUAGAGUAACUGCUACAGUCUUGACGGUAUCUUAUCAGAAAGCCACGGCUAACUACGUGCCAGCAGCCGCGGUAAUACGUAGGUGGCAAGCGUUGUCCGGAUUUAUUGGGCGUAAAGGGAGCGCGGGUGGUUUCUUAAGUCUGAUGUGAAAGCCCACGGCUUAACCGUGGAGGGUCAUUGGAAACUGGGAAACUUGAGUACAGAAGAGGAAUGUGGAACUCCAUGUGUAGCGGUGGAAUGCGUAGAUAUAUGGAAGAACACCAGUGGCGAAGGCGACAUUCUGGUCUGUUACUGACACUGAGGCUCGAAAGCGUGGGGAGCAAACAGGAUUAGAUACCCUGGUAGUCC